rnacentral:sRNA from 1 species
GCCGGCGAUGCGUCCUGGU